ACCCAAAGGGCCGAGGCACAAAAGAGGAGGCAAAGCAUUCGCACAGGACUGUACACCCAAGAUGAGGACACUUUGAUUUGCGAGAGUUGGAUGGAUAUAGGCCAAGAUCCCAUGAAAGGUGCCGAGCAAAAAGGAUCUGUCUUUUGGACAAGAGUUCACAAGAACUUUCAUGAGAGCAGGAAGUUUUCCCCCUACAAAUUUACGAGCACACGCGACAUCAACUCAAUCCAAAAGAGAUGGGGGUUCAUCCAACAAGAGUGCAACAAAUAUUGUGCCGCGCUUGAGAGCGUUCAAGCCCGUCCCGUAAGCGGCCUAGGCUUGGGUGACUUGGUAUGA
rnacentral:rRNA from 1 species